AUACGUAGGUGACAAGCGUUAUCCGGAUUUACUGGGCGUAAAGGGCGUGUAGGCGGUCUUGCAAGUCAGAUGUGAAAUUCCGGGGCUCAACCCCGGCACUGCAUCUGAAACUGUGUCUCUUGAGUGCUGGAGAGGAAAGCGGAAUUCCUAGUGUAGCGGUGAAAUGCGUAGAUAUUAGGAGGAACACCAGUGGCGAAGGCGGCUUUCUGGACAGUAACUGACGCUGAGGCGCGAAAGCGUGGGUAGCGAACAGGAUUAGAUACCCUGGUAGUCCACGCCGUAAACGAUGGAUACUAGGUGUAGGAGGUAUCGACCCCUUCUGUGCCGGAGUUAACACAAUAAGUAUCCCACCUGGGGAGUACGGCCGCAAGGCUAAAACUCAAAUGAAUUGACGG
rnacentral:rRNA from 1 species